GCACUACUCAUGAGUCCCAAACAGGACGAAACAGCUGUCCAGUGC
rnacentral:hammerhead_ribozyme from 1 species